rfam:Oryza rufipogon genomic scaffold, chr08
AAUAAGCGCAGCCAUGAGUUUCUAUGUCUAACUUUGAUCGUUCUUUUAUUUGAUUUUUUUUUAUGAUUAGUAAUUUUAUUAUUAUUAGAUUAUAAAACAUGAAUAGUAUUUUAUGCAUGGCUUAUGUUUUUAGUUUUUUUUUAAAAAAUUAAAUAGGACGAACGAUUAAAGUUUAACACGGAAACUCAUGACUGCGCUUUUU